CACCCAGACUCCUACGGGAGGCAGCAGUGGGGAAUAUUGCGCAAUGGGGGAAACCCUGACGCAGCAACGCCGCGUGAGUGAGGAAGUAUCUCGGUCUGUAAAGCUCUAUCAGCGGGGAAGAAGGAAGACGGUACCCGACUAAGAAGCCCCGGCUAACUACGUGCCAGCAGCCGCGGUAAUACGUAGGGGGCGAGCGUUAUCCGGAUUUACUGGGUGUAAAGGGAGCGUAGACGGCGUCGCAAGUCUGAAGUGAAAGCCCGUGGCUCAACCGCGGAACCGCUUUGGAAACUGCGAGGCUGGAGUGCUGGAGAGGUAAGCGGAAUUCCUAGUGUAGCGGUGAAAUGCGUAGAUAUUAGGAAGAACACCAGUGGCGAAGGCGGCUUACUGGACAGUAACUGACGUUGAGGCUCGAAAGCGUGGGGAGCAAACAGGAUUAGAUACCCUAGUAU
rnacentral:rRNA from 1 species